CCAAGGAGUCUAACAUGUGGGCGAGUCAUGGGGUGCAUACGAAACCCAAAGGCGCAAUGAAAGUAAAGGCCUCCUACGGAUGGCCCAGGCAGGAUCGCGGCGUCUCGGCGCUGCGCGCACUGCCGGCCCGUCUCGACGGCAUUGUCCGCGAGGCGGAGCAAGAGCCCACACGUUGGGACCCGAAAGAUGGUGAACUAUGUCUGAGUAGGACGAAGUCAGAGGAAACUCUGAUGGAGGUCCGCAGCGAUUCUGACGUGCAAAUCGAUCGUCAAACUUGGAUAUAGGGGCGAAAGACUAAUCGAACCAUCUA
rnacentral:rRNA from 1 species